CUGGCACCAGAUGUACCCUGCCUCCUUAGAUAAGAGGGGGAGGGAAAAAUCCAUGUGGGCACAUCCAGAAAAUGGGAAACUGAACCACUUAGGACAUGGCAAGGAAUGAGGACAAGAAAGACAGCGCCAUUCCCUCCCACCACCAAUUGGCAGAUUCAUUCAGCAAACAACAGCCGUCCAAGUUCACCAAGACAAGACUUAUCUCUCACCAAAGGAAACCAGAGCGACGAAGAAGAGGUGGUAUUCACUGGAGACCCCAGCACAUCCAUUCUCCGUCCACCAAAGCCCAGAGCCUCAGACGGACAAAGAUCCUGGACUGAGAUCUAAGAGGAGUGAUGUGAGCAAAUGAGAGGCCUGGAACUCUGGAGACACCACGUCCUCAGCUGUAAGAACACAGACAUGGAGCUGAACAAGCCUGUCUCCACUGCCAAAAUCCACAAAGCUCCACUGCUAUGUCACCACAGCGGGAGACCGGCUACCUUCCAGCUUACCAGGCUUCUCCUCUACUUCCCUUGUCCUGCAGCUCAGUACAAGGUUCUGCCACCUCUGAAGUACCCCACCUAGGCCUGCACAAGGCUUUGGGAAGACAUCUAGACACAAGCCAAAGAAACGAGAGAAAGCACCCUCGGACAAACCUCUCGGAACUCAUGGAGGCUGAGUAGGGUCAGAUGAGAAACCGGUGUCCCUGGCCAAGAAUGUGCUGGCCUAUCUCUGCUGGAGAUGGCAAGUUUCAUUCACCAUUAAAAGCAUUACUCACAAUCCUCAAGAUAAAGAGUCAGCCUAGAAGUCCAUCAACAGAGGGAUGAACAAAGACACUGUGGUCUGCAUACACAACAGAAUAUUAUUCAGCCACAAAAAGAAUGAAAUCCUGUUGUCUGCAGUAACGUGGAUGGAACGAAAGGACAUUUUCUUAAGUGAAAUAAUCCCAGCAAAAAAACAAAAACUACUACAGGUCCUCACCCAUGUGCACAAGCUAAAAGAAGUCAGGUUCACAGAGAGUCGAACAGAGUUCACCUCAGCCUGGGAGAAGUAAGAAAACGAUGGAUAGAGUCAAGAAGAGCCAAAAUACAGCAGACAGGCGGAAUAAAUGAGUGUGUUCCACAGAACCGCGGAGUGACUACAUUAAUUGAUUAUAUGUCUCAAAAUAACUAGGAAGGAGGCCUUUGAAGAUUUCAACCCCAGGAAAUGACAAAGGCUGGAGGAAACAGAAACAGCGCUAAUGACACUGAUCUGAUUGUCACGCGAUGCAGACGUGGGUUAAAUUACCUCAGUGCACCCCUCAGUAAGUGCAGCUAUGAUGCAUCCACUGUGAUGGAAUUUGAAAAUGACCCUGGAGCUGCUGCUGUCUGGGACUGAAGGAAAUGGGGGGCCAUGAAUGAGCCUUGGCUGGCCCCCUGCACCUGCCUCUGCUGGAGUGGCUCUCUGCCGGAGUGAUGCACAGAAGCCCUGCUCCCUCGGCCAGGUGCAGGGCCCUCAGGGUCGUGGAAGGGACCACUUUCUCCUCCCCUUUAAAUGCACAGCCUCAACAGGAGACAAAAGCAGGACUCAUUGGAGGUCGACCCACCAGCAGGGAGACCAGGCUGAUCUUCAGGACCUCUUUUAUCUAAUAAUAAGAAUCUGAAUUCAUCUUAGAGUAUAUUCUACCAUGCAGCAGGCACCUUGCUAAACACUUUAAACUCACAAAAUGCUCACAACAGCCACAACAAGCAACUCAACCCUGGGGUCAGAGAGGAGAAAAGGGGGGUCUCAUAAAAGAAAUUGCAAAGGCUGCACAGCUCACCAGUCAGAGGUGGGGCUGGAUGCAAAGGAAGGCGCUACUCCUCCACCUAAGGGGACCUGCAUUUCCUGUCUCCCAACAACUCUUCUGACCAUUCACCCUUUAUAGGGCCACUUUCCAGCAGGAAAAUCUCUAGACCACACUGAAACCUUAGUGGACAGCAGGGUCAGUGCAGAACAGCACUAGACAUUUGGAUAUUGAUGCAUCUUUACCACCUGAUGGAGGGACACGGGCACUCCAUAAUCUGACUUGGCCACACUUAUCAGGAAAACAAUGUGAUCAGGGCAUUAAGUUUUCCACCCAACCUAAAGUAUCAUCUUGGAAUAUUUACAUUUUAAGAGGCUCUCUGAGUACACAAUGUCCUACCCAAAUGAAUGACUGUGAUGUUUCUGACCACAACAUGCACACACACAAAAAUCCAGCACAAAGUUCUCCCCACCCCCAAAAAAGAAUACUAAAAGUAUGAACAACUUUCAUAAUAUUUAGCAACAAUGGCGUGCCCUUACAUACUCCUGCUGAUCUACAGUGUAUGAUCCCCUUCCCAUUACAAGAUUUCAUUGAUACUUGCAACUACUACACCACUGGGGAAACCCGAGUCUCAGAUACGGGCUAACUUGGACUAUUUUACAAUGCUGGCAGGUGGGUGGUGUGAA